rnacentral:rRNA from 1 species
GACGAACGCUGGCGGCGUGCUUAACACAUGCAAGUCGAACGGAAAGGCCCUGCUUUCGUGGGGUGCUCGAGUGGCGAACGGGUGAGUAACACGUGAGUAACCUGCCCUUGAUUUUGGGAUAACUUCAGGAAACUGGGGCUAAUACCGGAUAGGAGCUCCUGCUGCAUGGUGGGGGUUGGAAAGUUUCGGCGGUUGGGGAUGGACUCGCGGCUUAUCAGUUUGUUGGUGGGGUAGUGGCUUACCAAGGCUUUGACGGGUGGCCGGCCUGAGAGGGUGACCGGCGACAUUGGGACUGAGGUACGGCGCAGAGUCGUACGGGAGGCAGCAGUGGGGAGUAUUGCACAAUGGGCGGGAGCCGGAUGCGGCAACGCCGCGUGCGGGAUGACGGCCUUCGGGUUGUGAACCGCUUCCGCCUGUGACGAAGCGGGAGUGACGGUAAUGGGUGAAGAAGCACCGGCUAACUACGUG